AUGGCUGGCGAAGGCAUCUCGAUAGCUGAAUUUAUGGAGUACGACUCGAUGGUCAGGCAGACAUUUAAAAGUGAGAACGAAGCGUACAAGUUCUACUUAGGGUAUGCGAAGAACAAAGGGUUUGGUGUUCGAAAGGGUGAUCUGAAAUAUAAGGGAAACAAAGAAAAUGCAUACCGGAGGACGUUUGUGUGUUGCAAACAAGGAUAUCGUGACGUAAAGCACUUUGAUGAAACCGACAAGAAAAGGACACCAAGGGCACUCUCUCGGUGUGGUUGUCCUGCUCUUUUGCAGGUUGAGCUUCAAGCAAGCACUGGGUUGUGGUUUGUAAAGAAUUUUGUUGACCAACAUAGCCAUCCAUUCAUAAAUCCUGAGUUGUCACCUUUCUUGUGGUCUCAUCGUGGCAUGACCGAUCCACAGAAGGCGGAUGUCAUUGAGUACUCGGUUGGUGGACUUCGCACACAUCAGAUAAUGGAUGUGAUGGAGAAGCAGACUAGUGGUUUGGGCAAGGUUGGAUUUAUAUCUCGCGAUCUGUAUAACCAUGUCGCGUUGGAGAAGAAGAAAAAGAUAGAAGAUACACCACAGACAGUGAUGGGCAUCUGCAGAACAUAUUCUGGGCAGACGCCCAAUCUCGCUUGGACUAUGUUGCAUUUGGUGGUGUGGUGGUGUUUGACAGCACAUACUGGUCAAACAAAUAUAGGUUGCCAUUUGUUCCAUUUGUGGGGCUGA
rnacentral:rRNA from 1 species